GUCCUUACCAAAAAUUAAAAACUCUCCCCCAACCUAAACCCUCGAUCGCGAAAAAACCUCCAUCACCGAAAACCCACGAAAUACUCCAGCAAUUGAAACCCGGCCUCCAUUAGCAAAAACCUCCACCUACAAAAUACUCAAGAAAUUGAAACCCGACCUCCAUCAACAAAUUGAGGACGAAAUUUCAACGAAAGUUGCAGACACAAUUGGCACCGCACGAAGCCGUCGACGAACCCUUCCAAAACCGUCUUCGGCAGGAGCAAUGUUGUCACUGGUGUUGCGAAAGCAAUCAAGGACCAUUUUAAGAAAUAUCCUCUAGCUAUUGUCAAUGUCAAGGGGAGAGCUAAAGGGACCUCUGUUCAGGAGGUGGUUUUAAAAUUGGAAGAAGAAAUAGGCGGAGUUUUGGUAUCCCAGGAGCCAAGCAAAGUUAUUCUUUACAGAGGUUGGGGUGGUGGAGUGGAAACUGGCCAUGCUUCUAAUAAGGAGAAUCAUGAUAAACGAGCUGGUAUACCUUCAUUAGCUGUUGUCUCUCCAGAGAUGUUGGCAGCAAUGAGGCUUGAAUGUGGAUUGUCAAGCAGCUAAACAGAGAAGACAGAGCUUUAGCCUAGGUUUGGUACUUUGGUGUGAUUGUGGUGGCUUAAUCUGGAUUAGCUAUUGUCAAUUACACCAUAUUUUGUACUCUUUUGAAGUGCCUCCUAGACAUCAUUGGUCAAGAAAUUUCUUGCAAGAUUUUGGAGAAAGCAAGGAUUUCUUAUCUAUUCCGUAUGAGGUUUUGGCAGCUAUACAAACACAAGGAGAAACUGGAAAGAACUGGUUUCAAAUAACAGGUUUUAUAUGGCUGUUUGAGGCAGGGGUAGAUCAUUUUCUAGUUCUUUUACUUCUGCUUGGGAACCUAUAAAAUAAAAAGUAUUGGACUGUGAGAGAAGGGUAUGUGCUGAAUUUUUGUAAUAUAUACAGGAUGCGAGAAAUAAGAAUAUCGAGAAUGUCCUGAUAUUGUCUGGUGAUGAGCUCUACAGAAUGGACUAUGGAUCUUGUGCAAGUAUUGGAUAAAAUUCUUCUUGAUUUGAAUUAAUGUAAAUAUGUAAUUUUGGUCACCACAUAAAGAUCUUAACUAUCUUCGCUUGAAUCACUUGCAGAAUCACGUUAGUUUCUUGUGUUCUUGUGGGUGAGAGGUAUGCUUCCACAGUUCCACAAAGACACUUCUAUCAUUGUUGUUUAUUUUCUUUAUCCAUAUAUUUACAUAAGUUUCCUGCUUGUAUUUGGCUUCAUUUACACCUUAUACCAGCCAAGAUAGACAGCAAAAACCUAAGGGCC